GACAGAGGGUGCAAACGUUGUUCGGAAUUACUGGGCGUAAAGCGCGUGUAGGCUGUUUGGCAAGUCGGAUGUGAAAGCCCUGGGCUCAACUCAGGAAGUGCAUUCGAAACUGCCGAGCUGGAGUCCUGGAGAGGAAGGCGGAAUUCUCGGUGUAGAGGUGAAAUUCGUAGAUAUCGAGAGGAACACCGGUGGCGAAGGCGGCCUUCUGGACAGUGACUGACGCUGAGACGCGAAAGCGUGGGGAGCAAACAGG
rnacentral:rRNA from 1 species